rnacentral:rRNA from 1 species
GGCAAAGUUAAUAAGGGCGCACGGUGGAUGCCUUGGCACUAAGAGCCGAUGAAGGACGUGACUAACGACGAUAUUCUAGGGGGAGCAGUAAGUACGCAUUGAUCCCUAGGUCUCCGAAUGGGGAAACCCAGCUGCUACUAGCAGUUAUUCAUGAGUGAAUACAUAGCUCAUGUAAAGGUAACGCAGAGAACUGAAACAUCUAAGUACCUGCAGGAAGAGAAAGUAAAAACGAUUUCGUAAGUAGCGGCGAGCGAACGCGAAGAAGGGCAAACCAAGAAGCUUGCUUCUUGGGGUUGUAGGACUGCAACGUGGACUUAAGCAUUAUAGUCGAAUAACCUGGGAAGGUUAAUCAAAGAGGGUAAUAAUCCCGUAGACGAAAUAGCGCUUAUACCUAGCAGUAUCCUGAGUAGGGCUGGACACGCGAAAUCCAGUUUGAAUCCGGGAGGACCAUCUCCCAACCCUAAAUACUCCUUAGUGACCGAUAGUGAACCAGUACCGUGAGGGAAAGGUGAAAAGAACCCCGAGAGGGGAGUGAAAUAGCACCUGAAACCGUGUGCCUACAAGAAGUUCGAGCCCGUUAAUGGGUGAGAGCGUGCCUUUUGUAGAAUGAACCGGCGAGUUACGUUAUGAUGCGAGGUUAAGUUGAAGAGACGGAGCCGUAGGGAAACCGAGUCUGAAUAGGGCGACUUAGUAUCAUGAUGUAGACCCGAAACCUAGUGACCUAUCCAUGAGCAGGGUGAAGGUGUGGUAAGACGCACUGGAGGCCCGAACCAGGACACGUUGAAAAGUGUUUGGAUGACUUGUGGAUAGCGGAGAAAUUCCAAACGAACUGGGAGAUAGCUGGUUCUCUCCGAAAUAGCUUUAGGGCUAGCGUCGAAAUGUAAGUGUAUUGGAGGUAGAGCACUGUUUGGGUGAGGGGUCCGUCUAGGAUUACCAAUCUCAGAUAAACUCCGAAUGCUAAUACACAUGUUCGGCAGUCAGACUGCGAGUGCUAAGAUCCGUAGUCGAAAGGGAAACAGCCCAGACCAACAGCUAAGGUCCCAAAAUAUAUGUUAAGUGGAAAAGGAUGUGGGGUUGCACAGACAACUAGGAUGUUAGCUCAGAAGCAGCUAUCAUUCAAAGAGUGCGUAAUAGCUCACUAGUCGAGUGACCCUGCGCCGAAAAUGUACCGGGGCUAAACAUAUUACCGAAGCUUUGGAUUGAUAUUUUAUCAAUGGUAGGAGAGCGUUCUUAACCGCGAUGAAGGUAUACCGUGAGGAGUGCUGGAGCGUUAAGAAGUGAGAAUGCCGGUAUGAGUAGCGCAAGAUAAGUGAGAAUCUUAUCCACCGUAAGACUAAGGUUUCCAGGGGAAGGCUCGUCCGCCCUGGGUUAGUCGGGACCUAAGGCGAGGCCGAAAGGCGUAGUCGAUGGACAACUGGUUGAUAUUCCAGUACUAGAUAUGAUCGUGAUGGAGGGACGCAGUAGGCUAAGAGAUGCCAGUUAAUGGAUUCUGGUCUAAGCAGUGAGGUGUGAGAUGUGUCAAAUGCAUUUCUCUUUAACAUUGAGCUGUGAUGGGGAAGCAACUACGGUUGCGAACUCUCUGAUGUCACACUGCCAAGAAAAGCUUCUAGCGUAAAGUCAUAUCUACCCGUACCGCAAACCGACACAGGUAGUCGAGGCGAGUAGCCUCAGGUGAUCGAGAGAACUCUCGUUAAGGAACUCGGCAAAAUAGCCCCGUAACUUCGGGAGAAGGGGUGCUGGUGUAAAAGCCAGCCGCAGUGAAUAGGCCCAAGCAACUGUUUAUCAAAAACACAGCUCUCUGCUAAACCGCAAGGUGAUGUAUAGGGGGUGACGCCUGCCCGGUGCUGGAAGGUUAAGAGGAGUGCUUAGACGUAAGUCGAAGGUAUGAAUUGAAGCCCCAGUAAACGGCGGCCGUAACUAUAACGGUCCUAAGGUAGCGAAAUUCCUUGUCGGGUAAGUUCCGACCCGCACGAAAGGCGUAAUGAUUUGGGCACUGUCUCAACGAGAGACUCGGUGAAAUUUUAGUACCUGUGAAGAUGCAGGUUACCCGCGACAGGACGGAAAGACCCCAUGGAGCUUUACUGUAGUUUGAUAUUGAGUACCUGUAAGUCAUGUACAGGAUAGGUAGGAGCCAUUGAAAUAGGGACGCUAG